GAGCUUGCUCCCUUAGGUCAGCGGCGGACGGGUGAGUAACACGUGGGUAACCUGCCUGUAAGACUGGGAUAACUCCGGGAAACCGGGGCUAAUACCGGAUGCUUGAUUGAACCGCAUGGUUCAAUCAUAAAAGGUGGCUUUUAGCUACCACUUACAGAUGGACCCGCGGCGCAUUAGCUAGUUGGUGAGGUAACGGCUCACCAAGGCGACGAUGCGUAGCCGACCUGAGAGGGUGAUCGGCCACACUGGGACUGAGACACGGCCCAGACUCCUACGGGAGGCAGCAGUAGGGAAUCUUCCGCAAUGGACGAAAGUCUGACGGAGCAACGCCGCGUGAGUGAUGAAGGUUUUCGGAUCGUAAAACUCUGUUGUUAGGGAAGAACAAGUACCGUUCGAAUAGGGCGGUACCUUGACGGUACCUAACCAGAAAGCCACGGCUAACUACGUGCCAGCAGCCGCGGUAAUACGUAGGUGGCAAGCGUUGUCCGGAAUUAUUGGGCGUAAAGCGCGCGCAGGCGGUUUCUUAAGUCUGAUGUGAAAGCCCCC
rnacentral:rRNA from 1 species